GUGUCAGCAGCCGCGGUAAUACGUAGGGUGCGAGCGUUAAUCGGAAUUACUGGGCGUAAAGGGUGCGCAGGCGGCCCCGCAUGUCAGGCGUGAAAUCCCCGGGCUUAACCUGGGAAUGGCGCUUGAAACUACGGGGCUGGAGUAUGGCAGAGGGAGGUGGAAUUCCACGUGUAGCGGUGAAAUGCGUAGAGAUGUGGAGGAACACCGAUGGCGAAGGCAGCCUCCUGGGCCAAUACUGACGCUCAUGCACGAAAGCGUGGGGAGCAAACAGGAUUAGAUACCCUGGUAGUCCACGCCCUAAACGAUGAUGACUAGUUGUUGGAGGAGUUAAAUCCUUUAGUAACGCAGCUAACGCGAGAAGUCAUCCGCCUGGGGAGUACGGUCGCAAGAUUAAA
rnacentral:rRNA from 1 species